rnacentral:rRNA from 1 species
GGACUACCAGGGUAUCUAAUCCUGUUCGCUCCCCUAGCUUUCGCGCCUCAGCGUCAGAUGCCAGCCAGGACACUGCCUUCGCCUUUGGUAUUCCUCCGGAUAUCUACGCAUUUCACCACUCCACCCGGAAUUCUAUGUCCCUCUCUGGCCCUCAAGUACCGCAGUUUUUGAAGACCUUUCCCAGUUGAGCCGGGAAUUGUCACUCCAAACUUACCGCACCGCCUGCACGCCCUUUACGCCCAGUAACUCCGGACAACGCUCGCCCCCUACGUAUUACCGCGGCUGCUGGCAC